UUAUACUUCCAGAUAUCUACGCAAA
rnacentral:snRNA from 1 species